rnacentral:rRNA from 1 species
GACGAACGCUGGCGGCGUGCUUAACACAUGCAAGUCGAACGGUGACGCCCCAGCUUGCUGGAGUGGAUCAGUGGCGACCGGGUGAGUAACACGUGAGCAACCUGUACCUGACCCUGGAAUAAGCGCUGGAAACGGCGUCUCAUCCUGGCUACGAGUAGGGUCCGCAUGGGCACCUUCUGGUAAGUUAUUCGGUUGGGGAUGGGCUCGCGGCCCAUCAGCUUGUUGGUGAGGUAAUGGCACACCAAGGCGACGAGCGGUAGCCGGGCUGGGAGGACGACAGGCUACACUGGGACUGGAACGAGACACGGACUACAACGGGAGGCAACGGAGGAGAAGGUUACAUAAGGGGCGGGGGCCUAAUGUAACGACGCCACGUGGGGGAUGACAUCCAUCGGGUUGUAUUCCUCUUUCAGCAGGGAAGGGGCGAUAAUGACGGUACCGGCAGAAGAAGCACCGGCUAACUACGUG